UACGGGGGGGGCAAGCGUUGUUCGGAAUUACUGGGCGUAAAGGGCGCGUAGGCGGCCUGCUAAGUCGGACGUGAAAUCCCUCGGCUCAACCGGGGAACUGCGUCCGAUACUGGUUGGCUUGAGUUUGGGAGAGGGAUGCGGAAUUCCAGGUGUAGCGGUGAAAUGCGUAGAUAUCUGGAGGAACACCGGUGGCGAAGGCGGCAUCCUGGACCAAUACUGACGCUGAGGAGCGAAAGCCAGGGGAGCAAACGGG
rnacentral:rRNA from 1 species